rnacentral:sRNA from 1 species
GGGCGCCCUUAGGUUAGACUGCGAGUGAUGAAGAUGAUUUUCCCAUAACAUUCGCAGUCUAACCUAAGGGCGUGG